GCUCUGUUAAGUCCACCUGCGGAAGAGUGGCGCGGUCAGUGGUGGUGGUGGUGGUGGUGUAGCUGUGUGGUGGUCUGGUGUGUGUGUGUGUGGUUAAGGUGGACUGUGGCAAGUGUGUGUGUGGAUUGGUGGACAGGUGGUUGUGGUGGUGUGAAUAGGGUGGACUAGGAUGAGUGUGUUUGUGUGGAUUGGUGGACAGGUGGGUUGUGGUGGUGUGGAUAGGGUGGGCAAGGAAAUGAAGGUGAC